rnacentral:lncRNA from 1 species
UCCCUUCCUCUAGGUGGUUUUAAUCAUGUAUUUAUACAUGGGUAUACAAUGGUAAACAGGGGUUCUUUCCUAAAAGUUCACUUAAAGGACACAGUUUGCUUUGUUGUAUAUUCAUACAAAACUGCCUCAGGCAUAUUGGUCCUCCUACUCUCUCGCCUGGAUGUGUUGCCAAUACCUUUGACUAGAAUCUGUCCAAGCCUGAUGGUUAUUAGGGAGAGAAGAGAUAUACUUCAUUCCUCGGAGAGGAGAGACAUACUUCAUUCCUCGUAGUUGGGUUGAUGCAGUUAGGAUUCCUAUAUUUUUAGAUGAACUGUGUGUUUACAUAGUACAUGAAUGAAAGAGUCUCAAGCUGCCAAGUGUAUUAUCAGAAGAGCAAUGUGUAUGUAGCCCAUAAACCAAUUGCAGUCCUUGAUAGCUAAACUGUUUCUUAUGCUUGCCUGCUUUAAGGGCGGGGAGGAGCUCCAUGGCCAGGUGUUCUCUUAAGGAAGGCAGGCAGCUUUCACAUCAGUCAUCAAGUUGCUAAGGAUGGGUACCAACAGUGACCUGAUUUUAUUGUUUUUCUAUCGUUUGUGCCCAGAAUCCAGGUUUGGAACUGUUUCUUAUAUUCCGGGAUUCUUCCAUAAUCCCGACAGAUGGCAAUUACAUGAGAAAUCUCCCAACACACUAACAACUUCCAGGUACACUGUUUGCAACAACAGUUUACAUAUUUGGCCAAAGUUCCACAAAUUCAUCCUUGAGUGCCUUUAGACUUCUUGGAUAAAUACCAUCUUGUCCCUGUACUUGAUUUACAUCCAGUUUAUCAACCAGACAUGAACACCUCAUGUAUUCCUUUUUGGUCUAUUGCCUCUGAUCUGAUAUAGAAGUCCAACUUUGCUCCUUUCUCUCUACCUUAGAUUUUGUUUUUAACAGUAGAGAUAGAAUCCAGGCAGGUCAAGCCCAGUGCCAGAGGCAUCUCCAGCUCUUUGUUGAUCUUUCUUAAUGUUCAAAAAGUCACUGUACUAAAAUAAGGUCCACAACUUUACAAACUUCUUUUGAUCAUAUUUAAUUUUCAUUCCUCAUAGUCCAUGAUCAGGCUAAGCAUUUUGAUUUUGUUAUUUAAGAUACAUGGCCAGGAUAUGAACAUCACUUCAAUGUUUAAAAAAAAAAGUUAUAAAGGAUCAUUAGAACUUAGUCCGUGACUGAUGGGUGAGAAGAGUAUCAGUGGCCUUAUUAUACCCCUAUAUAUAAUAACUAGUCAUCAAGAGUUUAAGAUAGAAGUGCCAGUAUGGUAUUGUCGUAAAAAUACAAGCAGUCCCAAUCACAAGACACGGAUGGACAUGCAACUUACUAUCUCCCUGAGUGGUUAGUUGAUGAUUUCUCUUUGAGUCAUCUUCCUGAAAAAGCUGGGCAACGUUCUUAAACUUUAUUUAGUUCUGAUUUCUCGAGAGAACAGUUGUUUGUUCUGAGGGCCCUCUCAUUCUUCAAAUUUACAUAUUUUCUAUUUGAAGCACUCCCCAAAGUUUUCACUGUGUGCAAUGAUUCUUCACUGCUUGUUCCCCAGUUCCUGCCAAGAACCAUGGUGUGCACUGUUUGGUAAUUGCCACUGUUAAGCCCUCUGAAGGGCCUUUGUUCAGGGGUUAGAUUUACUGAUUCUAGUUUCUGUUGUUCUGGUAGCAAUGAAAAGGCAAAUGAUGAGCAGGCUUUCAAUAAUCAGGCCUUUAUCAGUGCCAACACUACCCUGAACUAGCUGCACCCUCAGCCACUGUGGCAUGCAACUAUAGAAACUCAAAGGAAUUGAAUGAUGACAGGAACUGCAGAGCUUU